GGGUAUGCAGCUUUGUGGCCUUAGCUUUGCAAAAGCUAAUGAAAAGUUUUUACUUUCAUACCCU
rnacentral:tRNA from 1 species